CGGGUCCAUACAGAGUGAGGUAGAUUGGGGAGAGUAGAGACUGGGGAACGGGUCCAUACAGAGUGAGGUAGAUUGGGGAGAGGAGAGACUGGGGAACGGGUCCAUACAGAGUGAGGUAG